AGUUUCAAUCCAGGACUUUCUGAUGAGUCUGUCAAUUUCCUCAGAACAUUGACUGAAAUGGUGACUGAGAACUGGCUAAUCAGAAUUCUGCCUCCUAUUGGUCAUAGUGAAGGUUCACUAUGAACUGUGACAUGAGCCAGGCCAUUGAGAACCCACUUGAAACUUGUGCUGGAUACAUUGAGGGCUAGCCUCUCUUUCAGUUUUGGGUCAGCCGCCCAAGGAGAAAACCAGGGUCAAAGCCAAGAACGGAAAGAGACUGCAAAUGCAUGCUGUAUAGGCCCCCAUGAACUUUAC